rnacentral:lncRNA from 1 species
CCCCAUGUUGGCCAGGCUGGUCUCGAACUCCUGACCUCAAGAGAUCUGCCCACCUCAGCCUCCCAAAGUGUUGGGAUUACAGGCGUAAGCCCUGCACCUGGCCCAAUGUUAUUUUUUUUAUUUUGUUCCCGCAGCUCUCUUCAUCACCGUAUAUUUGUUCUGCUUCUCUUGUGAGUUUUCCAUGGAGAAGUUGACAUGUCUUGCUCCAGCCCCUCCCAUACCCACUCCCAGAGUCCACACAGGAAGGCAGAGGAACAGGGAGCUCAAGGUGGCAACUGUACCAGAGUUAGCAGCGUCGUGACCUUGGUCAGAUCAUGUAACCCCCUGCUUCCUCAUCUGUAAAAUGGGACUAGCACCACGGUUCACCUGGUCACCUGCAGUUCAGCACUGAUGGGAGGAACAAAAGGACAGCAGGUUAUGAAGUGCGCACUUGGGUGGCCAAGUGCUGGUGGAUGGGGGUUGGGGAACUCCUCCCUGACGCUGCAGCGCAGGGCAGUGGGGACAGCACAGGACCAGGCUGCAUCCUGGGCCCUCUUUCCUUAGGGCGGGCUCUGUUGUGACCUUCCCUGUGACCUGGGCAUUUCCCAGUUUCUGCCCCUGGAAAUCAGAGCCAGGGAUCUGGGCUGGGGAAUUUUAGGGCAGAUGCAAGGAGAAAGAACAGGCCUCAAGCCCGCAGUUCACAUGGCCCCUCCCCAUGUGAAUUUUCAUGGUGCUGUUUAUAUGCUAGCAGAAGCUGGGCAAAGUGAGUGUUCAGGUGGCCCUGAUCCACAACCAACCAGUAUGGGGUGCCACCCAAGAGGA